CGUAGGAGACGAGCGUUAUCCGGAUUUACUGGGCGUAAAGUGUGUGCAGGCGGUUCGGCAAGUUGGAUGUGAAAUCUCCCGGCUCAACUGGGAGGGGUCGUUCAAAACUACCGAACUUGAGGUCAUCAGAGGAAGGUGGAAUUCCGGGUGUAGUGGUGAAAUGCGUAGAUAUCCGGAGGAACACCAGUGGCGAAGGCGGCCUUCUGGGAUGAUCCUGACGCUCAGACACGAAAGCUAGGGGAGCGAACGGGAUUAGAUACCCCGGUAGUCCUGGCCCUAAACGAUGAAUACUUGGUGUCUGGAGUUAUUAGUGCUCCGGGUGCCGUCGCUAACGUUUUUAGUAUUCCGCCUGGGGAGUACGCUCGCAAGAGUG
rnacentral:rRNA from 1 species